AGAGUUUGAUCCUGGCUCAGGAUGAACGCUAGCGGCAGGCUUAAUACAUGCAAGUCGAACGGCAGCACGUGUAGCAAUACAUGGUGGCGAGUGGCGCACGGGUGCGUAACACGUAUGUAACCUACCUCUAACAGUGGCAUAACAAUGAGAAAUUAUUGCUAAUUCCGCAUGUGGUUAAUUUGAGGCAUCUUAGAUUAACUAAAGAUUUAUCGGUUAGAGCUGGGCAUGCGUCCCAUUAGCUAGUUGGUGAGGUAACGGCUCACCAAGGCAUCGAUGGGUAGGGGCUCUGAGAGGAUUGUCCCCCACACUGGUACUGAGACACGGACCAGACUCCUACGGGAGGCAGCAGUAAGGAAUAUUGGGCAAUGGACGCAAGUCUGACCCAGCCAUGCCGCGUGAAGGAAGACGGCCCUAUGGGUUGUAAACUUCUUUUCUCAGGGGGUAAACUCUGGAACGUGUUCCGGACUGAAAGUACCUGAGGAAUAAGCAUCGGCUAACUCCGUGCCAGCAGCCGCGGUAAUACGGAGGAUGCGAGCGUUAUCCGGAUUCAUUGGGUUUAAAGGGUGCGCAGGCGGAUAUAUAAGUCGGAGGUGAAAUUCUGAUGCUCAACAUCAGCCGUGCCUUCGAUACUGUAUAUCUAGAGUCAAGUUGGAGUAGGCGGAAUGUGUUGUGUAGCGGUGAAAUGCUUAGAUAUAACACAGAACACCGAUCGCGAAGGCAGCUUACUAAACUUUGACUGACGCUCAUGCACGAAAGCGUGGGGAUCAAACAGGAUUAGAUACCCUGGUAGUCG
rnacentral:rRNA from 1 species